CACCCCAGUCGUCCGGCAAGUGUGUGAAGUUACCACAUGAAGAUCGAAUUGAAUAACCGAAAAGGUUGAAAAAAAAAUUUGAAUAUUUAAGAAUUUUCGGAGUUAUAAGGUGUUAAUUUGAAAAAGAAGCUCACAGAGCCACCCCCGGUAUCAUAUUAGUUAAAUCUCUAUUUUGAACGUUGCGAUAAAUUGGUGUCGAUUUUGCCGAAUUUCUAAAAAUCAUUUUUCGUGAACCGUUAUAUCUUGAUGAUUUUGAAAUUCGAGGUCAUUUUUGAUACAAAAUUGUGAUGUUUCGAUAUAUUUUGAAUUCUUAUAAUAUUUUACCUUCAUUAUAAUGAUUUUUGGAGUAAAGUUCUUAAUUCGUAUGAAAUUAAUUUAAGUUUAAAAGAUUUUUAAAAUUCAAAAUUUUCGAAAUCCGGUAAAGUGUAUUGGUAGCCACGAUUUUAAAACCGGUUACAGGUUUUCGAUCUUUCUCCAAACUUUAUCAAAACUUCUCCUUUCUCUUUCUUAAAACCUGUUACAGUGCACGUUCUCGAU
rnacentral:lncRNA from 1 species